GUUGCUGAAGUGACCGUCUCCUUCCGCGAGCCUGACAAGUAGUCCGUUCCCGGACGCCGGGACAAGCGGCCCCGGCAGCAGCAGGGGCUGCUGGGAAAUGGAGUCUGGCUGUGGCCAGAGCCGCCGUUUCGCCCGGCCCUGGUUUAAGGGAAAGUAGAAAGAACCUAUUUAUGUUAACUAGCAUUGAAGAAACUGGACUAACCCAACAUUCAAAGUGAUAAAGUCUGGAAAAUAUUGAUGUUUAAAUGAAAGUACUAAUAUACCCCCAAGCUAACAGUGUCAGACAAUGUAAGUAAUGUUUUUUCAUGAAGUGUCAAUUGUAAAAUGAAAGCAUCCGCAAAGUGUAAACAGUAAAUGAAGACGGAGAUGGCAAAAAAAGUCGACCAACACUACCUUCCUGGAAACUUGAUAGUAAUAUUUACUUCCCUACUGAUUUCAUAUUUUUAUGUGACAUUUAUUUUCCUCCUUCUGAAUAGAACUGCAUAAGCUGCUGCUACUUGGCCAACAGAGGGAGUGUGAAAGAGACUGUGGGUUGCACUGAACAGUGGCUUUAACAAAAAAAAAACAAAAAAAAAAACAAAACACACCAAACAAAAAAAAACACACAAAAAACCUCUUCUGGCAAGGAAAUGGCGGUUUUUAAAAAUAAAUAUUUAAAAUCUGGAAGACCGCCCAAGUCAGACUAAAAAUGUAAAGGUACUUUUGAGUUUAACUUCUAAACUUGACAGCGCCUCUUUAAAAAGAAUGCUUUGUAAAAAGCCAAACACUUCUCUGGAGGUUUCAGCCUACUGCAAGUCUACAGAGUCAGCAUUAGGCUGAGAUCAUAAAUCCACAUUUAAACUGGCAACUGUUAUUCUCUUGGCACGUCUCCUUCCCCAAACUCCAACCAUAUGUAGUAGACUGUCUCUGACACCAUAUUUAUGAGCAUUAUUUCCCAUGCUGAUUGUGUGCAUCUGUAGUCUUGUUGCACACUUAUGUUUUUAAAAUAGUGAGAUAAAUAAUUACCAUCAAUACUCAUAUACCCUUUAUUUGUUUUUAACGAGACGCUCCUGCCAGCAUAAGCUGUAUCAUUUGUCAAUAUAAAUAUGUACAAAUGCAGAACUCUGGAGUAUUUCUGUUUAGCUGGGUUUUUCUUACUUUUUUUUUACUUGUGAAUAUUUUGGCUUACAAAAAUUACAGCAUACAGUAAAUAACCCUCCAAUAUUUUGUACAAACUACGUGAUUUUGAUAUACAAGGAAUCUUUUUAUUACAGUGACAAUGUACAACCAUGUCUAUUUACAAUGCAAAAAAGUAUAUAAACCACAAUUUAAACGUUCUGCUACUGGCAGCCACUAUAGUUUAGGAGGUAGCUUUAAUUAACAAAAUGAACUGAAGCCACAUUUCCCAUCAUGUGUUCUAUCAAAUAAUUUACAAUACAAAGAUAAAAAUUAAUUCUAUGCACAGUAUGUACAGUUUAAUUCUCAAAACCGCAAUCUAGCUUAAAUCUUAAAAAGAAUAUUUCCAGAGUAACUGGGAUGGCAGUGGAUUUGCUAUUGAUUUAUCAUACCGUUAAAGAAACGCACAUAUUUAUUUUGAUCAUGCAUUCAUAAUUUUAUGUUGAUCAGAUUUCAAACUAAGCAUGGACAAUAGUAUCAUUGAUUGUAAUUUAAUGACAUUUGGGCCUCAGAUCUCAAAUGAUUUUAAAAAAUAAUUCACUGAUAUACAUGCAAAUCAGUCCAUCUCUCCACAGUAUGCUUUACCCUCAGUAAAAUAAUUGGCAGAAAUGCAGGACUUCCUAUACUGCAAAGCUGCUUUUCAUUAUUACCCCAUUUAGUAAAAUUUCAGUAUGCUUACAAACACCAUUGAGUGUUAAAGCACUGUUGCAAACAUUGGUCAGGGCUGCAAAAUAUUUCAGCUACCAUCUCUAAACAAGCUAACCUCAGACACCGACAGCAGUGAUGAUAUACACUGUCUAGUUCACGAAAAUUCUCAGACUGACUUUUUUUUUUUUUUUAACCAAA